UCGUGGCGUGAGUCGUCUGCUUAAUUGCGAUAACGAGCGAGACUCCAACUGCUAAAUACGCCUGAAAUUACUGCUGUUUCAUGGCGUUCUUAGCUGGAUUCGUGACUUUAAGUCAUAAGAAAUGGAGCAAUAACA
rnacentral:rRNA from 1 species